rnacentral:rRNA from 1 species
GAUGAACGCUGGCGGCGUGCCUAAUACAUGCAAGUCGAGCGAACGGACGAGAAGCUUGCUUCUCUGAUGUUAGCGGCGGACGGGUGAGUAACACGUGGAUAACCUACCUAUAAGACUGGGAUAACUUCGGGAAACCGGAGCUAAUACCGGAUCAUAUUUUGAACCGCAUGGUUCAAAAGUGAAAGACGGUCUUGCUGUCACUUAUAGAUGGAUCCGCGCUGCAUUAGCUAGUUGGUAAGGUAACGGCUUACCAAGGCAACGAUGCAUAGCCGACCUGAGAGGAUGAUCGGCCACACUGGAACUGAGACACGGUCCAGACUCCUACGGGAGGCAGCAGUAGGGAAUAUUCCGCAAUGGGCGAAAGCCUGACGGAGCAACGCCGCGUGGGUGAAGAAGGUCUUCGGAUCGUAAAACUCUGUUAUUAGGGAAGAACAUAUGUGUAAGUAACUGUGCACAUCUUGACGGUACCUAAUCAGAAAGCCACGGCUAACUACGUG